rnacentral:rRNA from 1 species
UACGUAGGGUGCAAGCGUUGUCCGGAAUUAUUGGGCGUAAAGAGCUCGUAGGCGGUCUGUUGCGUCGGCUGUGAAAACUCACAGCUCAACUGUGGGCGUGCGGGCGAUACGGGCAGACUUGAGUACUGCAGGGGAGACUGGAAUUCCUGGUGUAGCGGUGGAAUGCGCAGAUAUCAGGAGGAACACCGGUGGCGAAGGCGGGUCUCUGGGCAGUAACUGACGCUGAGGAGCGAAAGCGUGGGGAGCGAACAGG